UAGUUUUUUAUGUUGUGGUGCAAUAUUUUCGCUGUAUUAUACCCUAAAAGUUAAUCAAAAGUGAAAUUGGGUCAUAAAUUUGACAUUUGUAGGUAUUAUUAACGUAUAUUCAUGUUCGAAGCUUCGAAUGCUUCAAUGAAGCAUCAAAAUGAUUCAAUGAAGCUUCGUGACGUCACUCUCAACCUUCAUAUAUAAAGUCUCGACUAACUCGUUUUCGCCCCAUUCUUCACCGACCAUCACCACUCACUGGCUGCAGCUGACAGGCAGAUCAAGGAAUGGCUACAGAUCCAACUACAGUACAAAGCUCUGAUAUUGGCGUGGUACAGUCUGUGGGGUGCAGUAUGAGGUCAUAAGUGAAGUGUGGUGCAGUAUGUGGGGACAACAGACCACGAGUGACGCUUCUCAUACUACACAACAAUAUUCCUUGGGGUGACAGCUGAUGUACGAAAAAGCCAAUGGAGAACUGACUGAACUUUGAGCAAGAUUUAACAAGCAGCAUGUUACUUCAGCCUCAUCAGUUAAGUUACUUGUAUAUCUUAGAAAUUAUGGUCAUCCCAUAAACCACUAAACACUGUGCUCCUACACUGGGCAAUGGAGGGUGUGUGUGGGUGGGCUGACGGAGUGCAUUGGAGGGCUGUGGUGGACUGACUGUAGACAUUGAUAUUAGAGUAAAAUUAAUAUUAGUUGUAGUGACAGUAUAUAUAUACAGGACUACAUGCCUAUUGGUUAUCAGAGAAAAUUAGUAGUAGUAUAGGAGUAAAUAUAGCAAGUAAAGCAAGUUGUUGUAGGUGGGUUUCAACUAACAUAACUUUACUAACCUAACUUAACCAGCCUAACUUAGAUUAAACAUAACUAACCUAGACUUGACCAAAUCAGUAACAAGGUAUCUAUUAUACAGUAAAUAUAUUGGGUAAAAAAUAUUUUAAGAACAUCAAUUUAAACUGUUGUAUUAUCCACUUAAGUUAACUGAUCAUGAACUGAAAAAGUUUAUUUUGAAUUUAGAUAAAAUUGAGACGUGUAAAUUAUAAAAAUAUAACUUGUGUACAGUUAGGGACAGCUUAAGUACUGUACAUGUGUAUCUUAGCUAGUAUCGUCCCAUAAACCACUCAACACUGUAUUCUUACACUGGGCAGUGGAGGUGUGUGUGUGUGUGGAGGACUGUGUUUGAGGGUUCUGGAGGACUGUGUGGACUGACUGUAGAGACUGAUCUUCUAGUAAAAUUAAUAUUAGUUGUAGUGACAUUACGUAUAAAUAUACAGGACUACAUGCCUAUUGGUUUAAGAAAAUUAGUAGAAGUGUAGUUGUGAAUGUAACUGGUAAAGCAAGUUGUUGUGGGUGGGUUUCAACUAACCUAACUUAACCAGCCUAACUGAUUAAGUGCAACUAACCUACACUGAUCCAAAUCAGUAUUAAGUUACCCAUUAAACAGUAAAUAUAUAUUGAAUAAAAAUUUAUUGAAGAACAAAAAUUAAUGUAUUUAUCUAGCCACUCAUGUUAACUGAUCAUGAAUUCUGAAAGUUAAUUUUGAAGUUACAUAAAAUUGUGACGUGUAAAUUUUUAAAAAGUAAUAACUUGUGUGCAGUUGACGACAGUUCAAGUACAUGUGGUUUAGUGGUAGAUGGAUAUUGUAUGUUUAACAUUCAUUCUACAUAAAUAGCUACUUUAAACAUGUUGCAGGUGACGGCUGAUGUACGUGAAGGCCAAUGGAGAAGUGACAGAACCUUGAGCAAGACUUAACAAGCAGCACGUUACUUCAGCCU
rnacentral:lncRNA from 1 species